rnacentral:rRNA from 1 species
GACGAACGCUGGCGGCGUGCUUAAUACAUGCAAGUCAACUGAACUUAAGGUAGCAAUAUUUUAAGGGAGGUGGCGCACGGGUGAGUAACACGUAGGUAAUCUGCCUUUAGGUCUGACAUAAUUCCGCGAAAAGCGGGACUAAUAUCAGAUGAUGCAGCGGCUCGAACAUCGAGACAGUUGUUAAAACCUUCGGGGCCGUAAAGAUGAAGCCUGCGUCUGAUUAGGUAGUUGGCGGAGU